CUCGGGCAGUGACCUAGCGGCAGGGAUGGGGGGUGGGGAUUACCUUGGUGAUUCUAAGACCUCAAGACUGUGGUCUUUCUAAUUUCCAUGUGAUGACGCCUGGAAGUCGUGUAAGGCCCAGGGCUCCCUGUUUGCACACUCUGAGAACCAAGAGAUCAGCUCUUCGGAGGCUAGCACCUUCCAGGGAUGGACAAGGGGGUUCAGCAAUUCUUGCGGCAAAGUCAAAUCCCCCAGCCUGGCGCCUCCGCCCACAUUUCCUUUGUUCUCUCCUUUCUCUGGGCUUGUAGGCGCGAUCGCGGCAAUAACCAGGCUACGCCACCAGGUGGCGACGGUGCCCCAAAGUUAACCUCCUCAAGCAUCUGCCUUCCAGCCGCUCUUCCCGGAAUCAGCGACUGGGAGGAGCUGCGGGUCUCCAGGAGCCCCCCACCGCUCCCUGGCUUCCAGCUGCAUUCAAGACCGUCCUCUCUGCUCCAGUGCAGGCAAAGCUGUGGCUCCCUUUUCAGCCUGCAAUUCCUAGUAGCCUAGUUUGAAAGUAUGCUUCGUGUACCACAAAGCAGGGACACCAAAAGGGGAAACAAAAAGAGGAUUCAGAAAGGGACCUGCUCUGGCUGCAGAAGAAGCAUCUCCAUCUUGGAGAUGUGCAUGGAGAUGAAGGACUCCUCCCGUAAUCAUCUGGAGGGCAACAACCCCAAGAAGGAGGGCUUCUCCAAAUCCUUCACCUGUGGGACACAUUUCCAGAGAGGAGAGAGUGUUUUCCAAACCUAUUUGCUCAUAGCCCUUUUCCCGUGGAGCUGGGCUGCUGAGGACUGGUUUUCUGGUCACUGGGGUCUCCUCUGUGG
ensembl:lncRNA